UUAGAGGCUUGAUUCCUUUUCUCUUCCAAUGGAUGGCACAAACAGGUACUUUUGCACUAGCUACUACAUAGAACUGCAUACCAUACAGCCUCCCUGCCCUUGAUCUCUGCCUCUAUAUCGCUCUCACAGACAUAUGCAUAUGCACAACCCGAGAUGCCUGUGUUUUGCCUCCAUUACUGACAAAGCUGGAAGAGAGGCUUUAUGUUCAAGGCUGGACAUCAUAUCAAGUCUAUUUAAUGGCUUUUAGAAAAGCCCACCACUUCUGAUUGUGGUUGAGAAUUCUUUCCCUUUGUCCUUCCCUGACAAGGAUUAUGAGAUUCAAGAGUGUUGGUCCUUGACAACAGGCACAUGAGAUAUUAAUAACAGGACACCUCAAUCUGCACAUAUGUGUAUGUAUAUAUGUGUGUGUGUGUGUGUGUGUGUUUGGUGCCGGGGUGGGGUGGGGGCAUAAUGAUAUUCAAAGAGGAAAUGGCUUGGGUUAUGCAGUUCAGAUCUCACACACCUGCAGCAAAUUAAUUUGUUGUUGCACAUUAAUUAUCUCAUAGCUUCUAUUUAGGCUGCAGCUGUUGCUAUUAUGUUAAUAUUUUCAGCAUCCCUGUCUACAACAGGUUAUGGCAGCCUCAUAGACAAAAAAAAAUUGGGCUGGGUCUCCUUCCAGUCUUCCAGGUGUAUAUAGAAAUAAGUAAAUAAAAAAUGCAGACUGUUUUGAUCGGGCAUUUCAACUCCUAUUAAUUGGCCGAUCGAAAAGGGAUGGGGCAACCGAACCCAGAAAAAGAAUAACAAUGGACAAAGAUGGCGCGUGCAGAAAUUGUGAGAGGAAAAGAAGAAGAAGAAGAAGGGGGGAAGAGAGAAAGGAAUACCGAACACUGCAGUGUUGGGGCGCUGAGGUCUGGAAAUGAUUUUUUUUUUUUAAAAAAACGACGAAUUUCUGAUUUUGCCGCAGUGUACAUCUGCAGUCCCAGAAUCCUCUGGUAAGAUAAUCCCCCUUGCGAAGGGGAAACGCCUUUAACCUCCUUGUGAAUACAAAAAGAAAAAAGAAAGAAAGAAGUCUGCAACCAUUUUGAAAUUUGAGAAGAGAUGAGAAGGAUGAUGAAUACCAAGGAAUGGAAUGAUAUUGACUCAACAGUGAAGACAAACUGAAAGGAAGACAUACUGUAAGCGCUUAACGUCCUUUGAGUUUCUAGCGGUUGUCUCCAUUGCUCAUCUUCCAUCAAUGGAUGCCACGUCGACAUAUGUGUUCCAUGUGAUUAAGAAAUCGAGAGCUAAUAUCUGAGAUAGGAGAUAAUGGGCAAUGUUUAAAGUGGUUACUAUAGCACAAUAUGCAUUGUGGUAAAGGAAGCUUACUCUUUAGUAAGGGCAUUGAGAAUGGGAGGCUUAGAAGUUGUGAUACAGAUACAGGACAAUUAUAGAAAUUCUCAUUGUUUUCAUAAUUUUUUUAAAAAAAAAAUUAAUCCAAUGAACUUUUACGUAGCUUACAUGUAUAAAUGUAUCCAGCAUGACAGUCAAUAUUCAGAGCAGUUAAGCCUUUUAUGAUUGGGGGGAAACCUUUUUAAAAGGGUUUAGUUAAGCUAAUAUGUACACUGCAAAUUUAAAGACCACACUAUCCAAUUCAGAGGUCUGUUAAAUAUAAUUCUCUUGCCAACUAUUUUCAAAUUAGCUGUCCAUUCACAAGAUUCGUGUGGAUGAAGAAAUCUGCUCUAAACUGUUAAUAAAUAAAAGGAGCUGAAAUAGAAUGUUUUCAAUGUAGUCGAAAGUAGUUAAUUCCACCCCAUCACAAUUUCAUUACCAACUGUCAAAAUUUAAGUGGCAUCUUAUUACUGCAAAUAGUGGGACCAGGUAUAGAAAAGCAUUGCUUCUAAAAUUAUUUUGCAUUUGAUUGAAGCUAACUUUCCUCUUUAAGGUUGGGUACACUCAAAAAUUUCAUAUUAGCUGAAACAAAGAAUAUGAAGAACAUAAUUCAGAAAGGAUUAGAUAUAUAUUUAAUGAUAAUUUUGUGUUUAUGGGAAACUGGACAGAGCAUGCUUCAAAAAGGAAAUCUACCAACUCAACUCAUAACUGUAUGUGCCCAAGGACCACUUACACUGGUAUCAAGCCUGCAACAUCAAUUGAAUCACAUUGGUAUAUUUGAUUCUUGAAUCUAUCCUCUCCCAAUUUUGCACAAAGUAAAAAUAAAAUAAAAUAAAUGCCUAUUUA